GUAUAUAUCAAAGAACUCUUUUGUUUACUUACUUAGACCCACUUGUCAUCAGGUGACAUUGAUGGUCAGAUGCCAGCAAUUCCAUAUUUGAUUUUUGGCCACUAGGGGGCAGAAAAACAUCAAUACUUGAUGAUGGAUAGGCCUACUUUGCCGCACGUAGCUGUUACCGCCGACCUUUAUGUUUAGGCUAAGGUGUUAUCGAACAAUGUUUCUGGCCACCUGAAUUGUGAAAGGUGUUAGGUCCGGUGGGGAGUUGAAGGGCCCGGAGAACCCCCUCAGGACCGUUAAACAGAAACCAUAUCAGGGGCAGACAAUUCACAUCUGCUGCAAUGUAACCGCAAAACCCAUUGUGAAAAUCUACUGAGUCCCACAGAACCACUGGCCUCGAACUCGACCGGGCAGCCUUUGUGACGCGCAGUGUGAUGCCCAUGACCCAGCAUGAAACAGGAAGUGAGCUGGAAAGGCCAGGAAAUUAGUCUGUGGGGAUGGGUCGUUUCUCAGGCCGAGCAUCACCGCUGUCUUGAGCGAUCUUUUGUGCUCUGUGACUCACUUGUGGAGCAUGUGUUUUCAGUCCACAGGGCUUGGAUUUAGAUGAACUACAAAUAGAUGGCCCAAACUAUCCCAUGUGAGAAGACCACAAAGUGCUCUAUCGUUACAAAGGAGAAGAGUAAUGUUUAGCAGCCAGCCAUCAGACGAAUGAUAGUGACUAUAUGAGGCCCCUUAAUUUUUCCUCAUUUCUCAUCUUUGUUUUUUUCACUUUCCCUGGUUCCCCUACGUUUCUGUGUUACCCGCUUCCCUCACAGCUGGAGGCUAAUGCAGUGCUUAGCUCCUCAUUGCACACCAGAUUUUCUCACCCUGUGGCCUUCGCAGUCGAGCCGUCAUCUCUGCCUGUCAAUCAGGUCCAGAGCGACCCGGUGCACAUGAGUCCGCGAGAGGUCAGCUGUUGUGUAUGUCUGACCUUUGAGCUCUACAGCAGGAGGGCUUCUUGUGCAAAUGCAGUGAACAAGGCUGGACUUGAGCGCACAAUAAAUCAGUAGGAUGCUUCACCGCCCCCAUAUUCACAAGAUUGAUAAUUGGAAGCAUAUUGCAGAGAGGAGAGACAAAAUGCUGCUCUAGAACUAAGAGGUUGAGGGGGUUAGAAACACAGCCCGAUAACAAACUUGAAGAGUCUUUGGAGGAAAUCAGUGGACAGGCUGCCGAUCUCAGUGUGUUGACUCUCAGAUUUUAAAGGGCUGUGCACAGGCACAGGAAGAAACUGGAGGAAUCAACAGAAUGAGUCAUUUCAUUGCUACAGCACGCCGGCUGACAGUUGAAGCAUGUUGUAUCAGUCAUAUUAUUAAUGGUCUACCAUAUGCUGCUUGCAAAUACAAAUACAUGCUUUUAUAAACUUAGCUAAUAUAGUCUUAUAGGUAACGCUUCUGCAAAUAUGCACUUUUAUAUUUGCCAGUUACUUUAACCGCGCUGCUGCCCUACAACAAUACACGAGUGCUGAUUUAACCCACUAGCCCAGUGGUUAUGUCCACACCGUUCAUCUCUUUUAGCCUGCCCAAAACCUUCACCCAUGUGUCAGUACCACUUUAAAUCCUUUCCCUCUCUGUUUAUGUUAGCAUGUCAGAAAGCCACAUUAGACAUUUCCACACUCUAAUAAACUGGAGUUUUAUUAGUGGGAGUUAGUGAAUGAUGUGAGCCAUCGCGAGGCUGUCUCCAUGGUUACAGACCACAGAGAUGCCUGUCAGGCAGCUGGCAGGCCAUCGGCUGUUUGGUGGCCACUGUCAGCUGAUGGGGGAAAUGGAGGAGAGGAAAUUAACAAAGCAAGCUAAUACCUUUUCAGACAUGGGAAGAUGCUCUCUGUAAUGACUCACUUAGGGCCCUCUAUGAGUUUUGAUUCUAGCCUUGUACAGUGCCCUCUAGUUGUAACAGUUUGUUGUUUGGUUGUAUUUUACACAGUGGGUUCCCAACCUCUAUUUGCACCGCAGUUGACAGUUUUGUCAAGUAUACCUUAAUGCAGUAUCACCCAAGCCACCUGAAUCUUAAGUGAAUAAGAACUAGUCACCAUACUUUAAUAAAAGUCCCACACUGUUUCUUACUUGCAAAUAAGUCAUAUAAUAAGAACACGCACACGUUGUGAUCUGUAUGACCACUGUAUUUGCAAAUUUACAGCACUGCACAUGUGCUCCACAGUAUGAGCAUCAACACAGAUGAAACUGAUUUCGUUGGUAGAGUUGAGUUGUAGAUACGUUCAUAGAAAAGGCUGGCCCAGAGCCAGAGACCCCAUUAGAAGGAGCUUAGGGAAGUAAAGUAUCCAUGCUCCCCUUUCAGUAAAAAUCUACUCGGAUCUUACCUCCGAGCCAAGUCCUCCUCCUACACUUGCCUCCUAUUGCAGACAAAAUGACCUGUCAGAUCCUCUGAUGCACAGAUGUGGUGACAUCCAUAUACACAUUUUGGUAUCGGUUUAUUUCAUUCUGAGUUGCGUCCUAAAAUGUGCAUACAAUGUCCCAGCGAGUAUUACUUCGAAACAGAUGUCACUACUUUUAGAUCACUAGUAUGUUCAGGCUGUUAAGGAUUCGUUUCUUAUGUGUGUCAAAAUCUAAGCUUAAUGUGAGCUGUUUACUGGCGUUCUUGGCUUGUAAUGAGGGACGUUUUACUGGACAGAGUGAUGUAUGUUGUGUUCCUUCCUCUUCAGCCGCCUGCUCCUCUCCCCAAAGCCAUACUGAGAGGCUUUGGUGCUGACUUAUGGCCACAGCAGGAGACUGCUCUGCCUUUUAUGUCCCUUAGGACAGCAUCAAUAUAUCAAGCCUCUGCUGGUUCUUUUGAUUUACGACAACAUGUCACUUAAAGUUACUUGAGCAAGGUAGACUUUGGUUUCAUGGUAGCAAACAUGGCCAGUGUGAAUUUACAUGUCUGAGUUAGAGGGGAUUUUUUUACUGGUCAGUGUGCUUGUCAUUUUCCUUUGGCUCCAGUCCUCUACAGUUCAUAGGAGUCCCAUCAUCGGUCCAAAAUUGAGUGGAGAAUUUUGAUUUACAGUGCAAGCAGCAGCUUUUUCAAACCAAAAAGGGAUCAUUUAACAGUGUAAGAAAAAAGUUUCAACUCUAAAAUAUGACCUGUAAGAAUCUUUUUGCUGAAAGCUGAUAUAAGUGCUGAUUUACGGCAUUGGCCUUGCUAACGAUGGCCCUUAAUGAGCAGCUCAAGCAUCCACUUGUUUAUGGAGCAGGCUGAUUGACAGGCCAACCAAUGGAAAAAUUAAGUAGUGAAUGAGGAAUUGGAUCUGUCCCCUCUUUACCAUAUCAGGAGGGCCCUAAUAUAGUGGGGUGAACUUUGAAGUGCCCUAAUGGUCUUCAUGGUCCCUUAACCAUGCAGGCUUCUAUUAAGGGUGUCAGUGGAGCCUGGCUGGAGCAGCGUGACCCAUUAGGUUUAAUGAGUGCUGUUCAGGGCACAGUGGGCUGCUCUUCUUCCUCUCUGCGAGUGUUUGUUUAUGUCAUCUACCCAUGUUUAAGACAGAAGGGGAGUAUAGCGGCAGUGGGAAAACUUCUUUAACUGGUGGCCCAUUUUGCCAUUUGGGUCUCUGAUUUUGAUGGUAAGAUGGUCUCACUGGGGUCAUGACAGGUGCCUUAAACUUUCGUAAGUGUAUAUAUAUUGCUUCUUACUGAUAAUUUAUCAUUGGAUAAUAAAGGAUAAGUCUGGUGAUAUUCUAUAUUUUACCACUGUCCACACUAGCUAAAACCUGAUAUGGCUUAUUGCUCUGUGCCAUAGACCUGUAUUGUUGUCCAAAAGAUAUUAAAAACAUGCCUUCAUUAUGACGAACAUGGGUAGUAUAAUUUAUUUUAAGUCAAACCAACAUAGUGUACACCAUCCUGCUGCUGUAAACACUGACUUGCGCCCUAAAUCCAGAGCUAAACAUAGUCCCAACAAAUUUUUACUCCUGUUAGAGUAAAUAAUUUACUCUUUUUAAAAAUGAAAGUAUACAUUUGUGAGUGUCUUUAAAUACUGACAUCUUAAGUAGGAACCAACGGGCUUGGGGUUGGGAGCUGCAGGCAGGGCUGGGAAAGUUCUCAAAGAAUUUUUGCAUUGUUGACAAUAAGACACAUAGAAUAUGCAUUGUGCAUUGUAAGAGCCAGGUAAACUUUUUACAGUUAUUUUAAAGAGUUCUAUGUAAGUUAUGUUAAUUGUUAUUACCUUUAUUAUUAACAUCAUGAGGCACAUAGAAGAGGAUAGGAGAAGUAUUUUGUUUGACAUGUACAAGCAGGUCCUCGUCUCCCCUUCCAUUUUAAUCUUCCAUUGUUGAUCUUCAGUUCCUCGAGUAAAGCCGGAGCCUUUUGUGGGUGACAGCAGGCUUCUCUGGAGUUUUCCUGUUCUCGUGCGAUCAGAAUGCUCCAGUUAAACUCUUGCACAACUGUGGAAAAGACAGCAAUUGUUGCUGGGAGCAAGCAGAAAUGGGAGAGCUCCAACAUUCUUUGUAGGGAAAAGACCACAGCAAUGGCAAGAUGUGAAUUGGCACAGGUUAUCUUUUUUUUUUUUCCUGGCCAUGCCUUCCCUUUCUCUUACGUGAGAGUUAUCCUAAGUAGUUGUGCAUUCUGUGGAUGAUCUUCAGCACAAAGUUUCAAAUAAAGGGUGGAUUGAUUGCAGACAUAGUUUUUGUUGUGUAGGAAAGAUGUUUUGAAGUGAUUAUAAAUGUUUUUCUGAGGGCUGUUUUGUUGCAUGAUUGAGCCCGUAUUGCUAAAACAAAGAACAUCUGUGUGAAACGAUGUUGCAUACUGUAUUGCAUGACAGCUUUCUCUCGCCCCGGCCAUAGCAAUACUGUUAGCCAAAGACCACCUGGAGGCAUUUAAGGCCCAUUCAAACUAUUAGGCUUAACUUUGGGCCUAAUGGCUUCGGCAGAGCAUCCCAUCUGGAAGCUGCUGAUGCGAGAAAAAGAGUGGGAUCACAUAUCAUCCACCUUCAACCACACACACACAUACACACACACACACACACAGACACACUGUCAUGUUUUAAUCACUUCAGAGGACUUUAUAUUGACUUACCCUAGCCCUAACCACUACUUGCCUAACCCUAACUCUUACCCUAACAUUUAAACCACACUUUACUUUGUGUGAUUGUUCUAAACAAAUUUAUGUCCCUACAACAUUAGUAAUAUACACAUACACACAAAGGUAACAAAAUUCAUCUACCAGCACCUUUAAAGUUCACUAAUAAACAUAUUAUUUACAUAAUUAACAAAUGAUUGUUGUUUAUUUAAUAUGUAUGAUAACCGAACUAUAAAAAUGCCACGUUGUUGUGAGUUUCAAAAAUAGUUGAACUAUUUCCUUUAUGGUUUUAUCACUCAAAAACUCCUUAUGGUGCUCUAAAAAAGCUACUACUUGUUGUUACUGUAACAAUCCCAGAAUGCAAUGUUUUGCAUGUGAUGAAAAU